UGCGUAGGCGGUUUACUAAGUCAGAUGUGAAAGCCCCGGGCUUAACCUGGGAAUUGCAUUUGAUACUGGUAGGCUAGAGUAUGAUAGAGGGGGGUAGGAAUUCCUGGUGUAGCGGUGAAAUGCGUAGAUAUCAGGAGGAAUACCAGUGGCGAAGGCGGCCCCCUGGAUCAAUACUGACGCUGAGGUACGAAAGCGUGGGUAGCGAACA
rnacentral:rRNA from 1 species